rnacentral:rRNA from 1 species
GGAGGGUGCAAACGUUUGUUCGGAAUCACUGGGCGUAAAGGGCGCGCAGGCGGACCUGUAAGUCAGGAGUGAAAACUCGGGGCUCAACUCCGAGCCUGCUUCUGAAACUGCAAGUCUUGAGGGCCGGAGAGGAGAGUGGAAUUCCUAGUGUAGCGGUGGAAUGCGUAGAUAUUAGGAAGAACACCAGUGGCGAAGGCGACUCUCUGGACGGUUCCUGACGCUGAGGCGCGAAAGCUAGGGGAGCAAACAGGGAUUAGAUACCCUGGUAGUCCUAGCCGUAAACGAUGAGUGCUAGGUGGUGGUGGUUUCAACGCCUUCACUGCCGGAGCUAACGCAUUAAGCACUCCGCCUGGGGAGUACGGCCGCAAGGUUG